rnacentral:lncRNA from 1 species
AUGGCGUCUCAGGUGGGCGAGGAUGAUGAUACGGAUUUUGGUGACUGGACCCCGGUUGCUGGCGGGGGAAGAUCAGGAAGAGGGAGAAGCAGGACUGAGGAGGCAAGUUUAUUUGGGACACAGACUAGUAAACGGAGCUUGGAGGAGAACAGUUCGGAGGAGGGGUCCAGAGUUGUCCGGAGGAAAACGGUGAGGGAGGAAUUCAAAAUAAUUCUAAAGUUCAGGAAGGAAGAUGAGGAUGUGCAGCUAAGCCCAAUAGCGUUGUCUAGAGAACUGAAAAAGAAGUUUGGAGAUGUUCAGCUGGCUAAAAUUCUCAGGGAUGGGAACUUGCUGAUAGUGGUUAAGACAGAAGAACAAAACAAUAAAGUGUUGAAUGCUGAAAGUAUUUGUAGGAAGACUGUAGAAGACAAAAGGAUCUUAGGAGACAACAAAGUGAUACGGGGGGUGAUUACGGGUAUCCCUGUAGAAGAGGACCUGGAGAAGCUCAAGCGAUGUAUUAAUGGUGGUGAGGUCAGCAAAGUACAAAGACUGCUAAAAACGGUUAAUGGGGAGAGGGUGAGUAGCCUGUCGGUUCUAUUGGAAUUCCAGGAGGCUGUCCUGCCGGACAGAGUUAAAAUAGGUUGCAUGAGCUUUCCUGUUAGACCAUAUGUGCCACCACCCCUCAGGUGCUAUAAAUGCCAAAGAUACGGACACAUCGCUGCAGUUUGUAAAGGGAAACAGAGGUGCCCCAAGUGUGGAGGGGAACACCGAUAUGAUGAAUGUGGGGAUAGUGUACAGGAUAAAUGCAGUAACUGUGGGGGGCAGCACAGGGUGAGUUAUGGGAGGUGUGAAGUAAGGAAGAAGGCUGUGGAGGUCGAGCAAGUCAAAGUAGCUCACAACUUAAGUUACGCUGAGGCUGUCAAAAAGGUACAAAAGGCAAAGGACGGGACAGAAAAGGUUCGACCAUCAACGUCAGAAGUAAUACAACCACAGGGAGCUCGUACAGGACUGACAGUGGAGAAGAUGAUUUUGUUUAUUGCCUAUGUCACAAAUUGUACAGACCAGGUGAAACACAAAACAGAGAAAAUUAAAAUAGUUGUGAAAGGAGCAGACAGGUUUUUUGGCAUUAAAGAUAUAUCUUGGGAAACUGUCAAGGGGAGGGGAAGGCAGGAGGACCAGAGGAGAGUGUAA